CCAGUAGUCAUAUGCUUGUCUCAAAGAUUAAGCCAUGCAUGUCUCAGUACAAGCCAAAUUAAGGUGAAACCGCGAAAGGCUCAUUAAAUCAGUUAUGGUUCCUUAGAUCGUACCCACAUUUACUUGGAUAACUGUGGUAAUUCUAGAGCUAAUACAUGCAAACAGAGCUCCGACCGGAGACGGAAGGAGCGCUUUUAUUAGAUCAAAACCAAUCGGUGGCGGGUCUCCCGUCACCGUACACGUUGGUGACUCUGAAUAACUUAUUGCUGAUCGCACGGUCUCGCACCGGCGACGCAUCUUUCAAAUGUCUGCCUUAUCAACUGUCGAUGGUAGGUUCUGCGCCUACCAUGGUUGUAACGGGUAACGGGGAAUCAGGGUUCGAUUCCGGAGAGGGAGCCUGAGAAACGGCUACCACAUCCAAGGAAGGCAGCAGGCGCGCAAAUUACCCACUCCCGGCACGGGGAGGUAGUGACGAAAAAUAACGAUACGGGACUCAUCCGAGGCCCCGUAAUCGGAAUGAGUACACUCUAAAUCCUUUAACGAGGAUCAAUUGGAGGGCAAGUCUGGUGCCAGCAGCCGCGGUAAUUCCAGCUCCAAUAGCGUAUAUUAAAGUUGUUGCGGUUAAAAAGCUCGUAGUCGAAUUUGUGUCCCGCGCCGCCGGUUCAUCGCUCGCGGUGUCAACUGGCGUGUCCGCGGGACGUCCUGCCGGUGGGCUUAGCCCCCCGUGGGCGGCCCAAUCUCAAUCCCACCGCGGUGCUCUUCAUUGAGUGUCGAGGUGGGCCGGCACGUUUACUUUGAACAAAUUAGAGUGCUUAAAGCAGGCUAAAACAUCGCCUGAAUACUGUGUGCAUGGAAUAAUGGAAUAGGACCUCGGUUCUAUUUUGUUGGUUUUCGGAACCCCGAGGUAAUGAUUAAUAGGAACGGAUGGGGGCAUUCGUAUUGCGACGUUA
rnacentral:rRNA from 1 species